GGAGGAGACGCAUCGCGUGUUGUUUCGUCAUGCCACCGCCGACGAGCACGUCGCGGGAGUCUCCGCCAGGAUGCGUCCGACAAGCGCGAGGAGGCGCGUAGUAUCGUGGGAGGAUCCGCAAGGCUGCCGACGACGAGGACCGUCGCGGGAGGCUCAGCUAGGACGCCUCCGGCGAGCACGAGGAGGCGCGUCUCGGGGAGAGCGGCGCUAAGCCGCUGUCGAAUCUACCAGAGAGACGAGGAGAUCUCGCGGUGACCAUCUGGCCAUGGAGCGGGUGGUGCUGGGGCGCUGGGAGUGGUCCCUUCCUCCAUGAUUCCACUAUUCUGGAGGUGCGACGGACGGCAGCGGCAAGGAGUCCUGCCGCCGGUUUCAUCGAGGACCUCUGGUUCCCGUUCAAGGGACGACGCAGCAUACCAUCUCCGCGUGCCUCAGCCAAGUCACCGCUCAGGAUCUUGACAGCGGUCCCCUUGACAGCGGGGCACACAGGUUACUCCUAAGUUCAGGGUGCUGCGUCAGAGAUCAUCUCCCAAUGCCUCAGGAGGAGCGCGGGCCACGGGCCAUCCGCCGCUGCUCCUCACCCUCGAAAAUCAUGACAUCCUUCCUGCCCGAUCUGACCUCGAGCAGCUCCGUUCGGCAUCGACCUCAUGGCUGACCAUGCAUCAGUUUGCUUCCAUAGAAUCCACUUUUCUUGCCACGUCUCCGAUGCCACAAGGCGGUUUCUGCUGCAUCUUACAUGUCAAGUUUAGCAAUCAUCGAGCAUGAGCAAGCGGUAGUUACUGAGGCGCCGUCGCUGCUCGAGAUCUGGUUCGUCUUCGACGCUGCACGCCGUGAGGGGCAUGUUGGAGCUAUCACCCCAAUCACCUGAUAUGCUGUUUCCACCACCAGAGCCACCGACCCUUAUGUUACACUCAAGAUUCCAAAAGCGUUCUGUCAGUACAUCACCGGUAAUUUUCCACAGAAAAUCGUGCUCGGCAACCCCGUUGGAGACACAUGGAGUGUUUGAAUGGUGGAAUGGAGGAACCACAUCUUCAUUGAGCACGAAUGGGAUGCAUUCACGGAGGACAACGACAUUGUGAAAGAGCCAUAUGUAUGCUCUUUCAGAUGAGGUGGAAAUAUUGCCAGUUCACAACAAGAUGAUGUUAGCCUGUACGAAAAUUAGGUGAUGAUUUGCCUCUCCCUCACUCUCACUUGCACUGAUUCUUAUAUAUCCCGUAUAGAUAGGCUCCUUCAGCGAUGAUAAGUGCUUCACGGUAGCAUAUACUUGGCACCACUGAGCACUUGAUUGCUAUGUUAAAUGUAACCUGGCAUUUUGUUUGAGAUCUGUCUUUUCAAUUAUAGCAUGCAAAAAUUAUCCAUACGACAUAUACCACAAUUAAAGAAAUGCUCUUAUAAUCAACUUCCAAGUUAUUGGAAUUUAUUUUUGACGAGUCCAUAAAGUUAAAUACCCUGUACAUUUCACCUGCAAAAACUUACCAUGAAUUGUUUUGUUCUGCUCUUAGAUUUGAUGUGGGUGCCAUUGUAGACAUUUAUAUGUUUCAGGACAUCAGCGACAUGGAAGAGAAUGCGAGGAUGCCUUUGGCGAUCAGGUGAAGCUAUAAUUGUCACGCAAUGGGAGAAAGUUUUUGGAAGAAACCAUAUCCAUGCUGAAUAAAAAUUGUACUCUAUGUGAUAGUAUAGAUCUUGAAUUUUGCUCGGCAACUCCCAUCUUCCCAUUGUCUGUGAAAGGGGAAAACAUGCCAGAGCAGAGAUUUUGUUGCUUACAAAUGAGGUUGGAACACAACCUCUACUUUAUUUUUGUAAAUUAUUUGUAGUUUUUGGUGGCUCGCCAGAAAAUGUAAACACUGUCCUGUAUGGCUGUAUGAUUUGAUAGAAAUCCACCAUGGUUUUGUGACCAAAACGACUGAAA